GCCGGCUGAGGAGGAUGGGGGCCACCCGCCCGUUCCUCGCGUGAGGAGGCCGAGGGGCGCGCCACCCCAUCCCGGGGCGGCCGCCCCCCGGGGCGCCGCCAUCCCCGCCCGGCCCUGCGGUCGUGGCUGGGGAUGCGGAGCCGGGGACCGCCGGUGGAGCUGCGCGGGGUGAGAGGCGCGGGGAGGGGCGGCCGCUGGCUGCCCUCGGCCGCGGCCUCCGCCGGCGGGCCCCGCUCAACCCGGCCCUCCUUGCGCCCUGACAUCUGUGGUGACGGGUGAACCUGUCGCCUCUCCUGCACAGCCGAAGCCCAGGGGACGCUCCUGUCCUUUGAAAAGGUUUUUGGGUUUUUUUUUUUUUUUUUUUUCCCGCACCCCGGUUCCGGCGGAGGCCCUCCGCCAGCCAUGGUCCCCAGGAGGCCCCCGGGGUCUGCAGGGACUGCCUCCCAGCCCGGCCUCCCCGCCCCGCGCUCAGCAUCCCGCGGGCAGCCUGCGUGAAGCGGCCUCCCGCAGCCCCCGGCCCCUCCCCCAUGGAGGAGGAGGAGGGGGCGGCGGCCAGAGAGUGGGGCGCGACCCCCGCGGGGCCGGUGUGGACCGCCGUCUUCGACUACGAGGCGGUGGGCGACGAGGAGCUGACCCUGCGGAGAGGCGACCGCGUCCAGGUGCUUUCCCAGGACUGUGCGGUGUCCGGAGAUGAGGGCUGGUGGACGGGGCAGCUGCCGAGCGGCCGUGUGGGCGUCUUCCCCAGCAACUACGUGGCCCCCGCCGCACCCGCCGCACCCACAGGCCUCCAGCUGCCCCAGGAGAUCCCCUUCCACGAGCUGCAGUUGGAGGAGAUCAUCGGUGUGGGGGGCUUUGGCAAGGUCUAUCGGGCCCUAUGGCGCGGCGAGGAAGUAGCGGUCAAGGCCGCCCGGCUGGACCCUGAGCGGGACCCGGCAGUGACAGCAGAGCAGGUGCGCCAGGAGGCCCGGCUCUUCGGAGCCCUUCAGCACCCCAACAUCAUUGCCCUGAGGGGCGCCUGCCUCAGCCCCCCAAACCUCUGCCUGGUGAUGGAGUAUGCUCGGGGAGGUGCAUUGAGCAGGGUGCUGGCAGGUCGCCGCGUGCCUCCUCAUGUGCUGGUCAACUGGGCCGUGCAGGUGGCUCGGGGCAUGAACUAUCUUCACAAUGAUGCCCCUGUGCCCAUCAUUCACCGGGACCUCAAGUCCAUCAACAUCCUGAUCCUGGAGGCCAUUGAGAACCAUAACCUCGCUGACACGGUGCUCAAGAUCACAGACUUCGGCCUUGCCCGAGAGUGGCACAAGACGACCAAAAUGAGUGCCGCGGGGACCUACGCCUGGAUGGCCCCCGAGGUUAUCCGCCUCUCCCUCUUCUCCAAAAGCAGCGAUGUCUGGAGCUUCGGGGUGCUGCUCUGGGAGCUGCUGACCGGGGAGGUCCCCUACCGAGAAAUCGACGCCUUGGCCGUGGCUUACGGUGUGGCUAUGAACAAGCUGACUCUACCCAUCCCCUCCACCUGCCCCGAGCCCUUUGCCCGCCUACUGGAGGGUGAGCCAGGGCCCCGUGGAGAGGAAUGCUGGGACCCAGACCCUCAUGGGCGACCAGAUUUUGGCAGCAUCCUGAAGCAGCUGGAAGUCAUUGAACAGUCAGCCCUGUUCCAGAUGCCACUGGAGUCCUUCCACUCGCUGCAGGAAGACUGGAAGCUGGAGAUCCAGCACAUGUUCGAUGACCUUCGGACCAAGGAGAAGGAGUUGCGCAGCCGGGAAGAGGAGCUCCUGCGAGCCGCGCAGGAGCAGCGUUUUCAGGAGGAGCAGUUGCGGCGACGGGAGCAGGAGCUGGCAGAGCGAGAGAUGGACAUCGUAGAACGCGAGCUGCACCUGCUCAUGAGCCAACUGAGCCAGGAGAAGCCCAGGGUCCGCAAACGCAAGGGCAACUUCAAGCGCAGCCGCUUGCUCAAGCUGCGGGAAGGCAGCAGCCACAUCAGCCUGCCCUCCGGAUUUGAACAUAAGAUCACCGUCCAGGCCUCUCCCACCCUGGACAAGAGGAAAGGAUCCGAUGGGGCCAGCCCUCCUGCCAGCCCCAGCAUCAUCCCCCGGUUGAGGGCCAUUCGCUUGACCCCCAUGGACUGUGGCGGCAGCAGUGGCAGCGGGACAUGGAGCCGAAGUGGGCCACCAAAGAAAGAAGAACUGGUUGGGGGCAAGAAGAAGGGCAGGACAUGGGGCCCCAGUUCCACUUUGCAGAAGGAGCGGGCUGGAGGAGAGGAGAGGCUCAAGGCCCUGGGGGAAGGAAGCAAGCAGUGGUCCUCAAGCGCCCCAAACCUGGGCAAAUCCCCCAAGCACACCCCCAUGGCCCCAGGCUUUGCGAGCCUCAAUGAGAUGGAAGAGUUUGCGGAGGCAGAUGAAGGCAACAGCGUGCCCCCUUCCCCCUACUCCACCCCGUCCUACCUCAAGGUGCCUCUACCCGCCGAGCCCUCUCCUUGCGCGCAGGCGCCCUGGGAGCCGCCGGCUGCGACCCCCUCCCGGCCAGGACACGGAGCUCGUAGGCGCUGCGACCUGGCGCUGCUGGGCUGCGCCACGCUCCUGGGCGCCGUGGGCCUGGGCGCCAAUGUGGCCGAGGCGCGUGCCGGGGACGGUGAGGAGCAGCGGCGCUGGCUGGACGGCCUCUUCUUCCCGCGUCCUGGCCGCUUCCCUCGGGGUCUAAGCCCGACCGGGCGCCCCGGGAGUCGCCACGAGGACACAGCCCCCGGCCUGGGCCUGGCGCCCUCGGCCACCCUGGUGUCCCUGUCUUCUGUGUCAGAUUGCAACUCGACGCGUUCCUUGUUGCGCUCCGACAGCGACGAGGCUGCGCCCGCCGUGCCCUCCCCGCCGCCCUCUCCCCCCGCGUCCUCACCCAGCACUAACCCCCUUGUGGACGUGGAGCUGGAGAGCUUCAAGAAGGACCCCCGCCAAUCGCUCACGCCCACCCACGUCACGGCCGCGCACGCUGUGAGCCGGGGACACAGGCGGACACCAUCGGACGGGGCGCUGAGGCAGCGAGAGCCUCUGGAGCUCACUCGCCACGGUCCUCGGGACCCCCUUGAUUUCCCUCGACUGCCCGACCCUCAGGCCUUGUUCCCCACCCGUCGCAGGCCCCUGGAGUUCCCUGGCCGUCCCACCACCCUCACCUUUGCCCCAAGACCCCGGCCAGCUGCCAGCCGCCCCCGUCUGGACCCCUGGAAACUGGUCUCCUUUGGCCGGACAUUCAGCAUCUCGCCUCCCAGCAGGCCAGACACUCCAGAGAGCCCUGGCCCCCCCAGUGCGCAGCCCACACUGCUGGACAUGGACAUGGAGGGCCAGAGCCAGGACAACACAGUGCCCCUGUGUGGGACCUAUGGCUCUCACUGAGACCUGCCCACCACCACCCGCCUGGGCAGCCAUGAAUGUAGCGCCCCAGGCCCCGCCACAGCCCACCAUGCCCCAAGACCUCUGGAUUUCUGAGAAAGAGAGCCCGGCAUGGGGCCCCUGCUUCGUUCCCACAAUAACACCACACAAGGAGACAGACACCAGUGAGGGCGCUUUACCAGUAAGUAAACACAUGGGCCAAGGGGAGUCGCCUGCUGAGGUCGGAGGGAACAAGGCAGAGGCUGCCCUUUGACCUCAGCCCAGGACAUCGCUGCGAGCUGGGCCUCCAGCCCCACUGUUGCUGUCUUCCCGCGGGAGGCUGCAGCGGUUCAUCUUCAGCUGGGUCAGCUGGAUGUAGCGGAGAACGUUGGUGUCUGCAG